GUGUAUUUAUGAGAAGAAGUGCAGCAAAUGGCCCUUUGCAAAAGGCCAAGAAAUAACUGUGUUCUCCUGUUUCUAGAAAAGAGUGGGAUCGAUGGCUGCUGAUGGGGCUAAUUGGAACAGCAGUUGGGAUGCUGGGGUUUUUGACUCAUCAGAUAGUUGAUUCUCUCAUCAAAUUGAAAUGGGACCUGGUGGAAAGUUACCUGAAGGAUGGCAACUUCCACCUGGUGUGGGUGUGUGUGCUGGGCUCUGGGCUGGCCAUGGUCCUCGUCUCCUCGAGCUUGGUGCUGUUCUUUUGCCCAGCUGGUUCACCAUCUGGCUUGCCCGAAAUCAUUGGAUAUUUGAAUGGCACUUCUAUUCAACAUCUUUUUAGCAUCAAAACCUUCCUGGGGACCUUUGUCUCAUGCAUGCUGGCUGUAGCCUCUGGGCUCUUCUGUGGGUUGGAAGGUCCCAUGAUCCAUUUGGGGUAAGAAAUACUGGCCUGAGCCAGCUGCAGUCGGACACACUUGGCAUCCACCUUCCCUUCUUCACCAGGUUUCGGAAUUCAGCUGACAAGUAAGUGAUGGGCAGGGCACAGCCUGGUGACCUGCAGGGCUUCCCCAGGCCCUCAGUGCUUCAAGGGUACCUUGCAUCUCAUGUGGGAAUGGAGGUGCUGCUCCACUGGUCUUUUGGCCUUCCUGCUGUUUGUCACUUUGUAGUGGAAGAAAACUCCUUACUUAAUAAAUUUAAUCCUUCACAAAUGGUUCUAUUGUAUGCUUGUCGAAAAGAACUCAUUAAUACUGGAGACUUUUUUCCAUUGCCCUCUUGGCUGUAAAAGGAAGAGUUUAAGAAAUGUCAGAGUUUCAGCUAUGAGUUUUAUCCCCAAAAUAAAAUUGUCGGCUCAGGGGAGAGGAAAUGAUGGGGAUUCCACAGUGUGCACAGGGGACCCUUACUUUCCUUUCUUAGAUU
rnacentral:lncRNA from 7 species